AGAGCCCUACGUUGUACGUGACUAACCGAUAGUUUUGAGCCAACACCUAUUAGAAGGGAGUCUGGAGUUCUUUAGUGAACUUGAUACUAUAGUUUACUAUAGGACAAUGAAGCUAAAGACAGGACACCCACCUGCGAGAGCAGGUUCAAAACUUAGGAGACACGGCAUCCCGGGGCUCUU
rnacentral:other from 1 species